UACGUAGGGUGCGAGCGUUAAUCGGAAUUACUGGGCGUAAAGCGUGCGCAGGCGGUUUUGUAAGCCAGAUGUGAAAUCCCCGGGCUUAACCUGGGAAUGGCAUUUGGGACUGCAAGGCUGGAGUGUGGCAGAGGAGACUGGAAUUCCUGGUGUAGCAGUGAAAUGCGUAGAUAUCGGGAAGAACACCCGUGGCGAAGGCGGUUCUCUGGGACGGUACUGACGCUGAGACGCGAAAGCGUGGGGAGCGAACAGG
rnacentral:rRNA from 1 species